UCCUCUCCCUCCCGUGGUCUACCUCCAAAUAAACAGCUCGCCGGCGAUGGAAGAGGUGUGUGGCGAGCGAGCGACCCCGGAGGAGCAUAAACGAAGAUGCAGAGGUGCGUAGAAGACGACUGUCGGCGAGCGGAGGUGUGGUGCUUCCAGCUACAACGGCAGCCUGUGGAUGCUGGCAAGAGGUACAACCAUGGCGGCCAGCUGCUGGAAUCCGCACAAUUUUUUUGCUUCAAUCGGCGUUCAAUUUUUUUGUUGAAACUAGCGAUGUUCUGUAUGUUUUUGCUACCACCGUUUUGUAUUUUGCUGGAACCAGCCUCGUUUUUUGCUACCACUGUGUUUUCGCUUUGCGAACCAGCCCUCGACUUUGCAUUUUUGCUACAACCAUGGAGGCCAGAUGCUGGAACCCGCACACAUUUUUGCUUCCAUCGACGUUUUGGUUUUACUAAAACUAGCGUUGUCUUUUGUAUUUUUUGCUACCACCCUUUUGUAUUUUUGCUGGAACCAGCGUCGAUUUUUGCUACCAUCGCCUUUUUGAUUUGCUGGAACCAGCCCUAAACUUUGCAUCUUUGCUACCACCGGUGUUCUGGUUUGCUGGAACCAGUUUCAAUUUUUCCUACCAUCAAGGUUCGGUUUGUUGGGACGCCGUCUAAUUUCUGAAAUUUUUGCUACUACCGUUUUUUGGUUUGCUGGAACCAGCCCCAAUUUUUGCUACAACUGUCGUUUGCUGUGAGACCACAGAGUCGUCGUCAUUUGUUUCUACAGGAGGGCGAGGGAGGGGGAUGGGCAUCACCGGCGAGGUGAAGUGAUUUUUUGCUGGAACUGUGUUAAUUUUUUGCUACGACCCAUGAUUUAUUUUGUAGUGACCAGCAAAUUGAGGGCGAGAUACGACGCGAGCUCGACGACGGGGCGCUGCGGCCAUCUCCACCAGGGUUGCCAUGGCCGGUAAGCACGGUCGCCCAAGUAUGCGGCGGCGAGCAUGGGUUGCCGGUGAACACGAUGCCGAGAACGAGCGUGGGGCGGCCAAUGAUGCGUCGGCAAGAGCAUGUUGCCGGCGAGCAUGAGGCCGUGGACGAGCGCGGGCGGCCCAAGGAUGCUUCGGCGAGAGCGGGUUGCCGGCAAGCAUGAGGCCGAGGAUGAGCGCAGGCGGCGCAAGUGGAAGGCGAGCACGGUGCUGGAAAAAGCUGCACGAGACGGUGAAAUACAGGGACCUGCGCGAGGGCGAGAUGCGUCAGGAGGAAGAUAAUGUCCGGAAGAAUCGUUUCCUUUUUCUAUAUAUCCAACGGCCAGGGCUAGUGGCAUCUGGCGGCUAGGGUGCGACCGGCCGAAACUUUCGGCCGGCGCACCGGCGCCCAGUAUUGCCCAUAUACGAAGGUCUAUAUUGAAGAUACCCCAAUAUCCCAAACCCUGACAAAAUCUCUAGAACGCAAAUACAAGACCCCGUUGGGAAGUUUUGUUUCGAAGUCAAAAGCCUACACGACUCUGUAACAUCACCACGCACGCGGCCGCAACUUCGGCCAACCUCGCCUCCUCUCCUCCCCUCCCCCUGUUCCUCGAUGAGGCUACGGCCUCUGCCGUCGAGGAGGCGACGUUGGCCUGGCCCUCCGGCUAUGGGGGUACGGACCAAGCGUGGUCGUAUUCCUCCGGAGGGGACGAUCACAAGUAUAGGUGAGCCGCCUGUUCGCCGCCGAUGUCAUCCUCCCUCUCUGAAUCCACCCACGGCGCCGGCCGGUGUAAACCUGAUCUUGAGUAGCAGGAUUCCUUAUCUGUAGUAGCACUAGCAUAUGCACGCCGCGUGGCAAACACAUAGAUCGAUCGAUUCAUACUCGAUCCUACAGAUUUCAACCCCACAUACCGUGGGCUAAUUAGGGUUUUGGCAUUUGGUUAGAUUAGAUGGUACCUGAAUGGCCCAUUGGUCUUCGUGUGGUUUUUUCUUGUUCAGCUAAAGUUUACUGAACUUGUCAUGCAGCUUACAAAUUGGGGAACCACGGGCUGAUGCUGCUGCUGUUGGAGACGCCCUCGGGCUUUGCAAUUCUAUCUUUCGACGGGGCCCAGCUCUAUCUACCAGGCGCCAAGGAGAAUAUCUGGUCGAACUUCGGAGCGGAAUAUAUGGCACGAUAUAUUAUUUGGCUCAAACAAUUCAAAAAGUUCAAGGACAAGUCUAGCGCCAUUAGGUUCGAUACUGGUGUUUGCAGAAGGCUGUCUAAGUUCAUCAAGAGGUGGCGCCGUCCUGGGCAGAUGUUAGUUGUUGGGAAACCUGAGUAUAAAACAAUCAUAGAAGCGAGCAUGGGCAUACCUUGCGUUUUCGAUGAAACUGUGAUGGAGGUGAUGUGGGGCGUGAAGCAUAUCAUGCAUAGUCUGGUGCCUAUGGAAAAAAUCUGAGCUGACUAAGGAGGAGCGCCUCCCCAUGAGUCAAGGACUAAUAAAGUUCCUGAAUCGUAAAGGCUUUGAUGUCAAACCAGAGAUGGUGAGUUUACCAGUUGCCCAGUCAAUGAGCGCAUUGUUCUGUCAGCAUGUGCCUUGUAUGAUUGCGAUGAAAUCGAGAAGAAACAUGAUCGGUCCUUGAGACGUGCCGGUGAGCAACUUAAGGAUGUGUCUGGCAUCAACACCCAGGGCUGGAGCUUACUGGAACUUUCAACAGCUCUGAUGCUUAUAUGUUUUUCUGAAGAAGAAAUUCUAGUUGGUGAUCCGGAAGAGUUAUUUACAGCUGAGGAGCUGUGUAAGUUCCAGGAUGAUGCACACGAAUACGACGACAAGAUCUCAAAGUACCCAUGCCGAAGAAUCUACGAAGAACUAGUGUGUGCCUUUGAAGCUAGAGCAGCGAAUAGAAUACUUUUGACCUCCUUGGUUAAGGAGGCAAGUGCGCGUUUCUCUCCGGUACCCGAAGCUUGCAAAGUACAACCAUGGCAUAUAGCUAAGAAUAGCAUCAAUUCAUUCGAUCACCCACGGAGAAAAUUGGUAAUGCCGGCCCCUGCUAUUGAGCAAGUUUGUAGAACAAAGAAGACCGUGCAGCCCUCGAGAUGGGUGCGGAUGCUUUCCAACGUGAAGCUCUUGCCUCACAUGCUCACGGCUUUCAUGAAGCGGGAGCUCGGGUCCUGCAGAUUGCUGCGGGAGAUCAUGACGAAGGUACAUCGCUGGAGGAAGAUGAAGCUGUUGACAUGCAGGAAGAUUGAGAAGACUGUUGGUGGUACAGCUUGCUAAUGCAAAGAAGAAGUCCAACGGCUUCGAGAUCCACGUCAGAUCGAGUGAAGUCGGCAUCCAGCACGGAUACACCAGUGCGAGCAUCAUCGAUUCUAUCAACCGACGCGAGGAUUCCCGAUUUUUUUUCCUUUUUGAUUGAGGGUUAGCGAUCGACUGGCUGCUUUUUCUUAAAGACAUGUAAUUCUAUUCAUACUGAUAACAAUUACAGGUACACUGAUUUGGGUAAAAAAUACAAAGUAAUUCCUAUCUUUUCUUUUAUA